AGCAAUGUGACUUCCUGUGCUCACUGUGGCAGUACGUACGAUACAGAGAAGAUGAGCAUGGCCUCUGCGCAGGGAUGGUCUGCAGAUUCUGAAGCGCCCCAUGCUGUU
ensembl:snRNA U6 U6 spliceosomal RNA